rnacentral:rRNA from 1 species
UACAGAGGGGGCUAGCGUUGUUCGGAAUUACUGGGCGUAAAGGGCGCGUAGGCGGCCUUCUAAGUCGAACGUGAAAUCCCUGGGCUCAACCCAGGAACUGCGUCCGAUACUGGAAGGCUUGAAUCCGGGAGAGGGAUGCGGAAUUCCAGGUGUAGCGGUGAAAUGCGUAGAUAUCUGGAGGAACACCGGUGGCGAAGGCGGCAUCCUGGACCGGUAUUGACGCUGAGGCGCGAAAGCCAGGGGAGCAAACGGG